GUCGUCAGCUCGUGUCGUGAGAUGUUGGGUUAAGUCCCGCAACGAGCGCAACCCCUAUCUCUAGUUGCCAGCGAUCGUCGGGGACGUCUAGAGAUACUGCCCCGGUUAACGGGGAGGAAGGUGGGGAUGACGUCAAGUCCUCAUGGCCCUCAUGCCCAGGGCUACACACGUGCUACAAUGGGCGGUACAAAGGGUAGCGAUGCCGCGAGGCGAAGCCAAUCCCAAAAAGCCGUCCACAGUUCGGAUUGGAGUCUGCAACUCGACUCCAUGAAGCCGGAAUCGCUAGUAAUCGUGGAUCAGCAUGCCACGGUGAAUACGUUCCCGGGCCUU
rnacentral:rRNA from 1 species